rnacentral:misc_RNA from 1 species
GGGCAUCCAAAGUUGCUCUCUUUCUUCGGAUCCUUCACAUAUAGUGUGUGUUUGUGUGUUUUUUUGAGCUAUAUUGGGUGAUGGGUCAGUGAGUUUUUCUGCAUGUAAAGGUGGAAUCUUGGUUUUGUUGAAUGACAUUUUGAUUUGGCUUUAGGUUUUGUUGUUUCAAGAUUUGGAAGCUUAUUUUGAAGAUCUAAGAGUUGGUGGUGAAGGAAUUGGAAGUGCAAGAAUCAUGAAGUCGAGUACUCGACUUGACUCAGUUGUUUUUCAGCUUACUCCUACUAGAACUAGGUGUGAUCUUUUCAUUAUAGCCAAUGACAAGAAAGAGAAAAUAGCUUCUGGAUUGCUUACUCCUUUUCUUGCUCACUUGAAA